GACGUAGGGGCGCGAGCGUUGUCCGGAUUUUAUUUUGGGGCGUAAAGAGCUCGUAGGCGGCUUUGUCGCGUCGAAUGUGAAAUCUCAGGGCUCACUCUGACAUUUGCAUCCGAUACGGGGCAGGCUCGAGUUUCGGUAGGGGGAGACUGGAAUUCCUGGUGUAGCGGUGAAUGCGCAGAUAUCAGGAGGAACACCGGUGGCGAAGGCGGGGUCUCUGGGCCGAUACUGACGCUGAGGAGCGAAAGCGUUGGGGAGCGAACAGG
rnacentral:rRNA from 1 species